AGUGAACGCUGGCGGUAGGCCUAACACAUGCAAGUCGAACGGCAGCACAGUAAGAGCUUGCUCUUACGGGUGGCGAGUGGCGGACGGGUGAGGAAUACAUCGGAAUCUACUUUUUCGUGGGGGAUAACGUAGGGAAACUUACGCUAAUACCGCAUACGACCUACGGGUGAAAGCAGGGGAUCUUCGGACCUUGCGCGAUUGCAUGAGCCGAUGUCGGAUUAGCUAGUUGGCGGGGUAAAGGCCCACCAAGGCGACGAUCCGUAGCUGGUCUGAGAGGAUGAUCAGCCACACUGGAACUGAGACACGGUCCAGACUCCUACGGGAGGCAGCAGUGGGGAAUAUUGGCCAAUGGGCGCAAGCCUGAUCCAGCCAUACCGGGUGGGUUAAGAAGGCCUUCGGGUUGUGAAGCCCUUUUGUUGGGAAAGAAAGGCAGCAGGUUAAUACCCCGCUGUUCUGACGGUACCCAAAGAAUAAGCACCGGCUAACUUCGUG
rnacentral:rRNA from 1 species